ensembl:snRNA U6 U6 spliceosomal RNA
GUGCUUUGCAGUGCAUACACUAAAUAAAACAGGAAUGAUCCAGAGAUGAUUAGCAUGGUCCCUGGGCAAGGAUGACAAGCAAAUCUGUAAAGUGUUCUGUAAUUCC